CAAGACGAGCGUCCUUUAAAAUGUGUUUUUAUUAAUGCUACGAAUAAAACGUUUUUUGUUUUAUAAAUGAUAAUAUUUAAUUAUCUAUAUUACAAUUUAAUUCUACGUGUUUAGAUACACGAGUAUAGUUCUUUGACGACGUCAAUGUACAAAAAUCACCAGUCAUUGUUUACGAAGCCAAUAUCUUAUAUGUUCUUAUUAAAUUUAUGCUAUGAAAGAUCGCCUGAGUAUUAAACAUACACGUGGAGGCACCUACCUAUUGAUUUGUUUUGCAAAAAUACAUAUGUUUAGUUGCAAUCACCUCUACUUUCUAAUACGCGAUACUUUUUAUUAAAUCACUAAUGUUUACUUGGAUUGUAGUUCUACAUUAUUUUUUUUAUAUCAACGGAAAUUUUUAAUAUCUACUCAUGUACUGUGGCUGUAUGUUUAUGCCGCAACAGUUGCACAAAGUGUCGUGUUAAAGAAUUUGUUUCAUUUAAAUCACAAUAAACUGUCUGUCUUUAUUUAAAAUUGUUCAUGUUUAAAAAAAUUUAUGGCUCCUCAGUCAUUUGCGACUUAAUGUACGUAGGGAGGGGAGAGACGUCCAAAAUGAUCCCCCUAAGGGAGAAUGAUAACACUGCCCAAAGUAUAACAGUAACAGUAAAUUCGUAAAAAGCCUUUGAUACGUCAUUUUAGUGGUCAUAUAUUGUCUUCCCAGUGUUUCCGGUAAGUUUGAUAUUUCCGGUUUUAUUAAGGGAUUUCCGAAACUUUACUAAAGGAUAAUUUUGUACACCAGAUUGGGUAAAAUGAUCCUUGGGGUAUCCUACAUACAAAUUUUGUGCUGUGUUCUUAAUCGUUUUAAAUAAUGAGUCGCUUAGUGCGAGGAUAAAAAUAAAAUUGAUAAGUAUGUUUAUUCCAAGUUAUCAUAGUUAUUACAUAUGGAGCGUAAACAGUAUUCACUAUAUGGCAUUAAGUAAUGGUAUUAAAUGUGAAACGUUUAAAAGUGAGCAUUGUAACUCAGAGAUUUGGCCUUGUACGACAGAACCAUUCCUUGGCAAAAAUGAGCCAAAUAUCUAGGCGUCACCCUGGAUAGAUAUUUCACUUUCAACCCCCACAUUCAGAUAGUCAGAAAUAGGGCAGCCUACAUCUUAGGUCGCCUGUACCCCCUGAUCUGCAGAAAAAGUAAAUUGUCCCUUAGGAAUAAGAACACACUUUACAAGACCUGCAUAGUUCCUGUCAUGUCGUACGCAAGCGCGCGCUUCGCUCACGCCCGUCCCUCAGCCAUCAACAAACUGCAAGUGCUACAAAAUAGAUAGAGCUUUCAACCUCCACGAGGGCUAUUUUUGAAUGAUUAUCUCUUAGAUGAAGUUCUAUAGAUCAUGUACUUCAGGGCGGAUAAACCAGAAGCUAAAAGUUGGAUAUUAUAAACCACCUUUGAUAUGUUAAAAAUGUUCUGCUUAUUUUAGAGGCAUUAAAAUACAUAAAAGCUUUUGUAUCCUUGCGAAGUGAAACAAACACGUCCAGUCAAAAAGUUGUUAAGAUCGAUCAAUGUCAAUGUGACAACUAAAUCAAUGUCAAUGUGACAACUAAAAAAAUUAUGAAAUUAAAUAAAAACAUACGCAUUAAUUGCCUUUUAAAGAUUUUUCUGUCAUGCUUGAUCUACCUCUAUCAAAAAAUAUCUUAAUAUUUGUUUAAAACACCUGUUACUCUGCUGGAAUGCAAUAUACUAAACCUAGUUAAAUACCGCAACUAAGAAUCUACGUUUCAAAUAAAAAAUCCAUCGAAAUAGGUCGAUCCCUCUAAGAGCUAUGAUGCCAUAGACAGAUAUACAACACACAUACACACAAACACACAAACACUCGCACGCAUGCACACACGCAAACAUAUAACGACCAUCUCUUGAGUUGUCUGUUUUAAAGAGGGAUUAAAAGAUUUAAAUGAAAGAAAUGUUUCAGUACAACUACAGAAGCCUUCCCUCAAGAUAUGUAUCUUGAAACUACUUACUUUACUUCCUAAGUUUUAAUUAAAACCUGGAAAAUUUUCGUAUGCAGUUCGACGAAGCACACUUGUGGUACAACUGUUUGUAUUAGUUGAGGCACAAUAUUUUGUUUUCAAUCAUCGACAGGCGACAAUGGUCCUGUGUGGAACAUUGGCCGCCGCCUGUCGCCGCUAGGAACGAUGACGUUCUGAGCGUCGAACUCGCAGUUCCAAUGUGCCGUGCGAUGCCAGGGCCGAUGCUAAGGAUAGAGCCAAAACGGCGAGCUGUGUUUUGACGCAGAGGAAUGUCCUCGCCGCACAGGCCAGCGCCAGACCUGUGUGACGAGCUGCCAGAGUCGCUGACCAAGGACCGCGCCACCCGCCACCGCCCACACAGAUACCCGCCUGAUAGAAAGUACAAUUUUAUACAUACUUGACAGUCAAUAAACGUAAAGCUAAAAUGCAAUAAUAAAAGUAAAA